CUCUCUUAUACCUCAUUUAAGGGCUGACUGCCACUGGGGAAGGAUCUUUUUCUGGGCAUCUUUCCUUGACGAUGUUUUUUCCUGUACACCUAGAAUCUUUGGAUACAGCUAUAGGCUUGGAAAAGCUCAGCUUUAGGAGGAACGUUCACCAUACUUGGAAAUGCAGUGCACUGGGGAGAGCAUCGUUUGAGUCACCGGGAAUUGGAGUUUGCAAAGCCAGUAGAUGUGCCAUCUACCAUCACGAGUCUCCACUGCCAUGGGAGGCAGGGAGCAUUUCCUGGUAGUUUUGGAUAAACAAAGCACUCAGUGUCUUCAGCAGUCCAGGUCACUGCACUACAGCAGUUCUUGAGAGUGGUUUCCAGGACUGAUGAAGAGCAGGGAUAUUUUGGAAUCACUGAUUUGUCUGAAAGCAUUUUCAGUACUUGGAAACCCAACUGCCCUCCUGUUGUACCAUGUACCUACCCACAGAAAUAACAUUUCCUUUCUGAGGUAAAACAGCCUGUCUCAAAUACCAAAUAGUGCCUGGACGUGCUGCUUUGAAAUUAGCUCUUUAAUCACUAUGCUGCUGUGCAGAGUCUGCCUUGGGCACAACUAAAAAUCCACUCCAAAAUAUUUGUCUGCUCACACAUUCUUAAUUACUGGACCUGUCAAAUUUCAGACUUACCAGGUUACCUCUUCAAUCUGUAGUCUCUAAAGAGUGGAUCUAUAGUAAAAUGCAUCAAUUUAGUGCAUUUUAAACACAGCACAUUCUUCAGUUAAUAAUCUUUGCAAAAUAAAGAAGUGGAAUACAGGCAUAAUUGUUUUAUAUUAGUUAACAGACUAAACUAUUCUCUCAGAUGUCUGGAGGAGAUACAAGCGUUCCCUCCCUGUCUUGAAUUAUUAGUGUGAUAGAGAGAUUUGCAUUUCCAGGAGUCCUUUUAAUGACUUCCUUUCGUAGGAAAAAACCAUAAAUCACGUUCACCAUAUACUCACAUAGAAUCGUAGCAUCAUGGAAUUACUAAGGUUGGAAAAGAGCUCUAAGAUCCCCAAGCCCAACUCCAUCCCACCCCACCAUGCCCACCAACCACAGCCCUCAGUGCUACAUCUCCAUGGCUCUUGGAUGCCUGCAGGGACGAUGAUCCCCACUAUUUCCUGGACAAAGAGUACAGCAUAGAGUAUGUCAGCACUGAAUGUGUGCUGCAAUAACGAUUCCAAUCUGUUUUGUUAGCAUCGCCCUUCUUCUUCUUAUAAUAAGAUCUCAUGGAUUCAGGAGGGUAAGUAAGUCUAUCACUGAUAGAUUUCAACAGAAUGAAAGCCUAUGAUAAAAAGCUGAGGGGAGAGUUCACACUGCAGAUUCUCACCAGUGCCAGGCACUGCUGGAACUGUUAUUUAUGGCCUUUUUCUGCGAUAAGUGAAAGCCAGGAUUUUCACUAUGGAUGUUUCUCAGAAACUGAAAAGAAGAGGAAAGGAAAAAAUCCUCUGAAAUGCUUUAUGAAGGGUCAAAGAAGAAUGUCUAAAA